GUGCUCACUUCAGCAGCACAUACACUAAAAUUGGAAUGAUAUAGAGAAGAUUACCAUGGUCUCU
rnacentral:snRNA from 10 species